rnacentral:rRNA from 1 species
UAGUCCACGCUGUAAACGAUGGGUGCUAGAUAUCGGGACUUUGUUUCGGUGUCGUAGCUAACGCGUUAAGCACCCCGCCUGGGGAGUACGAGCGCAAGCUUAAAACUCAAAGGAAUUGACGGGGACCCGCACAAGCGGUGGAGCAUGUGGUUUAAUUCGAUGCAACGCGAAGAACCUUACCACCCUUUGACAUCCUGAUCGCGAGUACUAGAGAUAGUACUCUUCAGCUCGGCUGGAUCAGUGACAGGUGUUGCAUGGCUGUCGUCAGCUCGUGUCGUGAGAUGUUGGGUUAAGUCCCGCAACGAGCGCAACCCUUACCCUUAGUUGCCAGCAGGUUAAGCUGGGCACUCUAAGGGGACUGCCGGUGAUAAGCCGGAGGAAGGUGGGGGAUGACGUCAAGUCAUCAUGGGCCCUUANAGGGGUGGGGCUACACACGUGCUACAAUGGGCAAUGACAAUGGGGAANCUAGAUCGCGAGAUCAUGCAAAUCUC